rnacentral:rRNA from 1 species
GGCAGCAGCUAAGAAUAUUCCACAAUGGACGGAAGUCUGAUGGAGCGACGCCGCGUGCGCGAUGAAGGCCGUGAGGUUGUAAAGCGCUUUUCUUGAGGGGGAACAACACAUCCAGGGAAUGGGAUGUGGAUGACGUGAAUCGAGGAAUAAGCCCCGGCUAACUACGUGCCAGCAGCCGCGGUAACACGUAGGGGGCGAGCGUUGUUCGGAAUCAUUGGGCGUAAAGGGCGCGCAGGCGGCCCGGUAAGUCUGGUGUAAAAUGGUCGUGCUCAACACGAUCAUGCGCUGGAAACUGUCGGGCUAGAGUCAACGAGGGGAUGCCGGAAUUCCAGGUGUAGGGGUGAAAUCUGUAGAUAUCUGGAAGAACACCGAUGGCGAAGGCAGGCAUCUGGCGACUGACUGACGCUGAGGCGCGAAGGUGCGGGGAGCAAACAGGUUUAGAUACCCUGGUAGUCCGCACAGUAAACGAUGCGCACCAGGUGGCGGGCAGCAGUGCUCGGUACCGAAGCAAACGCAUUAAGUGCACCGCCUGGGGAGUAUGCCCGCAAGGGUGAAACUCAAGGAAUUGACGG